GGUGCAUAUUCACUUGUUACUAUUUUGUGGAAUUGUUAAUGACUUGUUAUUUCUAUUAUGUUUAAUGACAGUAAUGAUGAGGAACAAUGAACAACUUGACAGUCAUUCUAGUACCAUCACAAAUAAGCCAACUACUCCUAAAAUAGUAGUUACUCCAACCAAACCAGUGCGAAUUUGUAUUUUACGCACCGGUUUGAACCGGUGUGAAUUAAAAAAGAAAAAAAAAACAGAAAAGGCACCGGUUCACCGUAAAUUAUCUAAACCCUUUAUACUCCCUCAGCCCUUCUAUUUCUCAUCCGCCUCUCUAUUUCUUCUCUCCUCUCUAAUCUCUCGUUCUUUUCUCCUUCUCUUUCAUCUCUCGUUCUUCUUUCCUUCUCUCUAAGCUCUCGUUCUUCUCUCCUUCUCUCUAAGCUUUCGUUUUUCUCGUUGUUCUCUUAUCUUCUUCCUCAUUUUAGAUUCCGUAGUUUAAUUUUCAAAACCAAGCAAAACAAUUUUUGCCGCCGCCGUUGAUUAUUCGAACAUGCAAGCAUCACCCGUCAAAUUUGAGGUUGUAUAUGAUGAUAAUUUCAUUAGAUGCGAGUAUGGUGAUAAUUUUUGC